UACGAAGGGGGCUAGCGUUGUUCGGAAUCACUGGGCGUAAAGGGCGCGUAGGCGGCGCGACAAGUCAGGCGUGAAAGCCCCGGGCUCAACCCGGGAAUUGCGCUUGAUACUGUCGUGCUUGAGGCCGGGAGAGGAUGGCGGAAUUCCCAGUGUAGAGGUGAAAUUCGUAGAUAUUCGGAAGAACACCAGUGGCGAAGGCGGCUCACUGGCCCGGUUCUGACGCUGAGGUGCGAAAGCGUGGGGAGCAAACGGG
rnacentral:rRNA from 1 species